rnacentral:lncRNA from 1 species
UGAUUGCAAACAAAAAUAUUUCAAUCAUUUGACAACAUAAUAUCUAAAGGGUUAAUUGUAGGUUUUACCCAUUCUCAAAGACAAAAAGAAAAAAAUACAAAUACAAACUAAAACAUAUAAAUAAUACCCACUUUUUGUAAAACUUGACAUUUAUACUCUAAAUAAAAUCAUAAUUAAAAAAUAAAUAAAAACACCUCCCUCCAUUUCUGCAACUGUCGCAACCAACCUC